rnacentral:rRNA from 1 species
UACAGAGGUCUCAAGCGUUGUUCGGAUUCAUUGGGCGUAAAGGGUGCGUAGGUGGCGGGGCAAGUUUGGUGUGAAAUCCCGGGGCUCAACCCCGGAACUGCACUGAAUACUGCCUUGCUUGAGCACUGGAGAGGGAACUGGAAUUUACGGUGUAGCAGUGAAAUGCGUAGAUAUCGUAAGGAAGACCAGUGGCGAAGGCGAGUUCCUGGACAGGUACUGACGCUGAGGCACGAAGGCCAGGGGGAGCAAACGGG